rnacentral:ncRNA from 1 species
CUCUUUUUGGACCCAAGGCUCACUUUGCAGGACGAUCCGAGCAGAAGACAUUGUCAGGUGGGGAGUUGUUGUUUGUUUGAUGGGAUCUACUACUCGGAUAACCGUAGUAAUUCUAGAGCUAAUACGUACAUCAAACCCCAACUUCUGGAAGGGAUGCAUUUAUUAGAUGAAAGGUCGACGCGGGCUCUGCCUGUUGCUGCGAUGAUUCAUGAUAACUCGACGGAUCGCACGACCAUCGUGCUAGCGAUGCAUCAUUUAAAUUUCUGCCCUAUCAACUUUCGAUGGUAGGAUAGUGGCGUACCAUGGUGGUGAUGCGUGACAGAUAAUUAAGGUUCGAUUCAGGAGAGGGAGCCUGAGAAACGACUACCACAUCCAAGGAAGGCAGCAGGCGUAAAUUACCCAAUCCUGACACGGGGAGGUAGUGAAAAUAAAUAACAAUACCGAGCUCUAUGAGUCUGGUAAUUGGAAUGAGUACAAUCUAAAUGACUUAACGAGGAUCCAUUGGAGGUCAAGUCUGGUGCCAGCAGCCGCGGUAAUUCUAGCUCCAAUAG